rnacentral:rRNA from 1 species
AAAUUGGGGGGGGGCUAAAACAUGCAAGUCGAGCGGACAGAUGGGAGCUUGCUCCCUGAUGUUAGCGGCGGACGGGUGAGUAACACGUGGGUAACCUGCCUGUAAGACUGGGAUAACUCCGGGAAACCGGGGCUAAUACCGGAUGGUUGUUUGAACCGCAUGGUUCAAACAUAAAAGGUGGCUUCGGCUACCACUUACAGAUGGACCCGCGGCGCAUUAGCUAGUUGGUGAGGUAACGGCUCACCAAGGCAACGAUGCGUAGCCGACCUGAGAGGGUGAUCGGCCACACUGGGACUGAGACACGGCCCAGACUCCUACGGGAGGCAGCAGUAGGGAAUCUUCCGCAAUGGACGAAAGUCUGACGGAGCAACGCCGCGUGAGUGAUGAAGGUUUUCGGAUCGUAAAGCUCUGUUGUUAGGGAAGAACAAGUACCGUUCGAAUAGGGCGGUACCUUGACGGUACCUAACCAGAAAGCCACGGCUAACUACGUGCCAGCAGCCGCGGUAAUACGUAGGUGGCAAGCGUUGUCCGGAAUUAUUGGGCGUAAAGGGCUCGCAGGCGGUUUCUUAAGUCUGAUGUGAAAGCCCCCGGCUCAACCGGGGAGGGUCAUUGGAAACUGGGGAACUUGAGUGCAGAAGAGGAGAGUGGAAUUCCACGUGUAGCGGUGAAAUGCGUAGAGAUGUGGAGGAACACCAGUGGCGAAGGCGACUCUCUGGUCUGUAACUGACGCUGAGGAGCGAAAGCGUGGGGAGCGAACAGGAUUAGAUACCCUGGUAGUCCACGCCGUAAACGAUGAGUGCUAAGUGUUAGGGGGUUUCCGCCCCUUAGUGCUGCAGCUAACGCAUUAAGCACUCCGCCUGGGGAGUACGGUCGCAAGACUGAAACUCAAAGGAAAUGACGGGGGCCCGCACAAGCGGUGGAGCAUGGUGGUUUAAUUCGAAGCAACGCGAGAACCUUACCAGGUCUUGACAUCCUCUGACAUCCUAGAGAUAGGACGUCCCCUUCGGGGGCAGAGUGAACAGUGUGCAUGAUGUCGUCAGCUCGUGUCGUGAGAUGUGGAUAGUCCCGCAACCGAGCGCACCUUGAUCUUAGUUGCAG